CUGCUCACUUCAGUAGCGUGUACACUAAAACACGGACAAUACAGAGAAGAUUGGCAUGACUUCUGCACAAGGAGGAUACACACAUUCAUGAAAGGUUUCAUAUUAAA
ensembl:snRNA U6 U6 spliceosomal RNA